rnacentral:rRNA from 1 species
CAGUAGCCACGGUAAUACGUAGGGUGCAAGCGUUAUCCGGAAUUAUUGGGCGUAAAGAGCUCGUAGGCGGUUUGUCGCGUCUGCUGUGAAAACUGGAGGCUCAACCUCCAGCCUGCAGUGGGUACGGGCAGACUAGAGUGCGGUAGGGGAGAUUGGAAUUCCUGGUGUAGCGGUGGAAUGCGCAGAUAUCAGGAGGAACACCGAUGGCGAAGGCAGAUCUCUGGGCCGUAACUGACGCUGAGGAGCGAAAGCAUGGGGAGCGAACAGGAUUAGAUACCCCCGUAGUCCCUGUCUCUUAUAC